rnacentral:rRNA from 1 species
ACGCUCGACACCUAGGCAGCAGUGGGGAAUAUUGCACAAUGGGGGAAACCCUGAUGCAGCGACGCCGCGUGGAGGAAGAAGGUCUUCGGAUUGUAAACUCCUGUUGUUGGGGAAAAAGAGGAUGGUACCCAACAAGGAAGUGACGGCUAACUACGUGCCGGCAGCCGCGGUAAUCUGAGCGGGCUGGCAAGGC